rnacentral:tRNA from 1 species
GUGGAGAUGGCCGAGUUGGUCUAAGGCACCAAAUUAAGGUUCUGGUCCAAGGCGCCAGAUUAAGGUUCUGGUCCGAAAGGGCGUGGGUUCAAAUCCCACUCUCCACA